rnacentral:lncRNA from 1 species
AUGGCCUCACGCUCAGGCAUGGCCUGCCCUGGUUUGUCUCUGCUGCUGCCCGGGUGCCCUGGGCCUAGCGACACCGCCCGCAGCCACGUCGGCCCCCGCGGUGAGCUCAGAGGCCACGCAGGAGCAGCUGGACGCGAGGAUCCGAGCGAUCAUCUGAAGCCCAUUUCAGGGUCUGCCACUACUUCCCUCCCCAGCGAGUUUAGACUGAAGGCCACACACCUUGGGGCCCCCAGCCUGCACCAGCUGGCGCACCGCUGACUCACCCUCCUCUUCCUUCCAGCACCAUCGGCCCGCUGGCGUUCCCGGAACCGCUUCAGGUCUGCCCUCUUGCCUCAGGUCCUUUGCACCGGCCAUCCCCUCCCUUUCCCCGGAAUCCUCACCAUCCGUAUUCCAGGUUUCGGCUUAAAUGUCACCUCCUCAGAAAGGCCUUCCGUGUCUGCCUGUCUGUCUGUCUGUCUAAAAGAGGUUCCCAGAAUUGUGCCAUCAUAGCACUCGGCAUGAGUAGUCAUGGCUCUCUCUCCUUCUUCAUCUACCUAAGCUCUGCCCACCUCCUUGCUGCGUUGUGGGCAUGGUGAGGACAGGACAGCACAGACAGAUGCACUCUGGGUCUUUGUGACUUCCAUAUAUAUGUUUUUUGACGUGGGGCCAAAUCCAAAUAUUUUCCGAAUUGAAGGAAACUGGGCUUCCUGGUGGAAUUAGCCGCAAGGAGGAAGGUUUAAUACUUGAGUACUUCUGAGGGAGCCUCUGGAGUAAGCCCAAAGCAAGCCCUAGGCCAAGACUCAAGGGCACCUCCUUGAUGUUGCGAGUGACGUAAGGCCUGACCAGGGCCAGGCUGGAGAGAACAGACUGGGCCCAAGGGACGGCUCCUGCCUCUGUAUUUCCUUCUGUCUCUGAUUCUCCUCCUUCCUGGCAGCCUGGGCCACCUCGCGAGGCUGGCACAGGGCUUCCGGCCUUCUCCAGACUGCGGCCUGGGCGCUGGUAAGGGCCUCCUGACCUCGUGGAUUUCACUGCCCCUUUCUGCACUGUUUGCGGUGAAUCUUUACCAGCAAAGGCAGGGCUGCUGGGAGUGAGAAGGGCACUCCACACAGGUUAUUACAACAAACAAAGAACCACACAAGAUAGGAAUGCUCCCUCCAAACCUCGAGACUGUGGCCUGGGGUUGGGGGGCGGGCAGGGCUCACAGGCUUAGCUUAGCGCUCUCAAGGGACCUCAGGAUUCUGGCAGCUUGGGCCCCAGGCCCCCCUUCACGUCGCCAGGC